rnacentral:rRNA from 1 species
GAUCAUGGCUCAGGAUGAACGCUAGCUACAGGCUUAACACAUGCAAGUCGAGGGGCAGCAUUGGAGUAGCAAUACUCAGAUGGCGACCGGCGCACGGGUGAGUAACACGUAUCCAACCUGCCGCUUACUCGGGGAUAGCCUUUCGAAAGAAAGAUUAAUACCCGAUGGUAUAAAGAGUUCGCAUGUUCUCUUUAUUAAAGAAUUUCGGUAAGCGAUGGGGAUGCGUUCCAUUAGAUAGUUGGCGGGGUAACGGCCCACCAAGUCUACGAUGGAUAGGGGUUCUGAGAGGAAGGUCCCCCACAUUGGAACUGAGACACGGUCCAAACUCCUACGGGAGGCAGCAGUGAGGAAUAUUGGUCAAUGGACGCGAGUCUGAACCAGCCAAAGUAGCGUGAAGGAUGACUGCCCUAUGGGUUGUAAACUUCUUUUAUAAGGGAAUAAAGUGAGGGACGUGUCCCUUUUUGUGUGUACCUUAUGAAUAAGGAUCGGCUAACUCCGUGCCAGCCGCCGC